rnacentral:rRNA from 1 species
GAGCGGCAGCACAAGGGAGUUUACUCCUGAGGUGGCGAGCGGCGGACGGGUGAGUAAUGCCUAGGGAUCUGCCCAGUCGAGGGGGAUAACAGUUGGAAACGACUGCUAAUACCGCAUACGCCCUACGGGGGAAAGAGGGGGACCUUCGGGCCUCUCGCGAUUGGAUGAACCUAGGUGGGAUUAGCUAGUUGGUGAGGUAAUGGCUCACCAAGGCGACGAUCCCUAGCUGUUCUGAGAGGAUGAUCAGCCACACUGGGACUGAGACACGGCCCAGACUCCUACGGGAGGCAGCAGUGGGGAAUAUUGCACAAUGGGGGAAACCCUGAUGCAGCCAUGCCGCGUGUGUGAAGAAGGCCUUCGGGUUGUAAAGCACUUUCAGUAGGGAGGAAAGGGUGAGUCUUAAUACGGCUCAUCUGUGACGUUACCUACAGAAGAAGGACCGGCUAACUCCGUGCCAGCAGCCGCGGUAAUACGGAGGGUCCGAGCGUUAAUCGGAAUUACUGGGCGUAAAGCGUGCGCAGGCGGUUUGUUAAGCGAGAUGUGAAAGCCCUGGGCUCAACCUAGGAAUAGCAUUUCGAACUGGCGAACUAGAGUCUUGUAGAGGGGGGUAGAAUUCCAGGUGUAGCGGUGAAAUGCG